rnacentral:rRNA from 1 species
CAGUCGUACCGGUGGGUAAUCAGCCUUUCGGCGUGAUUAUGUGGAGCGUGAGGAGUUAAACGCCCUCAUGCCUGCAUAUUCGUGUUCUUUGGGUGUACUUACCCGCAUGGUAGGUUGACAUCAAUUUCGAACGUCAUAAAAUGGUUGGGAGGAAUGUAGCUCCGAUCUCGUAUUGAAGUGUUAUAGCCUUCGGCAGAUGUGAUGAUCGGAAUUGAGGAUUGCAACGGAUACCCUUCGGCUACCCGUCUGAUCUCUGAAAGUUACUCUGGUGCCGAAAGCUCGUUUACGGUCUCAAAAUUUGACGUUCAAAAGUUAGAACGGGAUUAA